UGGGAGCUAGCUUGCUAGAAGAAGUCAUGGCGGACGGGUGAGUAACGUGUAAAGAACUUACCAUAUAGACUGGGAUAACAGAGGGAAACUUCUGAUAAUACUGGAUAAGUUAGUAGUAGCAUUACUAAGUAAUGAAAGGUAGCAAUACGCUAUAUGAGAGCUUUGCAUCCUAUUAGCUAGUUGGUGGGGUAAAAGCCUACCAAGGCGAUGAUAGGUAGCCGGCCUGAGAGGGUGGACGGCCACAAGGGGACUGAGAUACGGCCCUUACUCCUACGGGAGGCAGCAGUGGGGAAUAUUGGACAAUGGAGGCAACUCUGAUCCAGCAAUUCUGUGUGUGUGAAGAAGGUUUUAGGACUGUAAAACACUUUUAGUAGGGAAGAAAGAAAUGACGGUACCUACAGAAGAAGCGACGGCUAAAUACGUGCCAGCAGCCGCGGUAAUACGUAUGUCGCGAGCGUUAUCCGGAAUUAUUGGGCUUAAAGGGCAUCUAGGCGGUUAAACAAGUUGAAGGUGAAAACCUGUGGCUCAACCAUAGGCUUGCCUACAAAACUGUAUAACUAGAGUACUGGAAAGGUGGGUGGAACUACACGAGUAGAGGUGAAAUUCGUAGAUAUGUGUAGGAAUGCCGAUGAUGAAGAUAACUCACUGGACAGCAACUGACGCUGAAGUGCGAAAGCUAGG
rnacentral:rRNA from 1 species